UACGGGGGGUGCAAACGUUGCUCGGAAUUAUUGGGCGUAAAGCGCACGUAGGCGGUCUCGUAAGUCGGGUGUGAAAGCCCGGGGCUUAACCCCGGAAGUGCACUCGAAACUGCAAGGCUUGAGUACGGAAGAGGGUCUCGGAAUUCCCGGUGUAGAGGUGAAAUUCGUAGAUAUCGGGAGGAACACCAGUGGCGAAGGCGGAGACCUGGGCCGAUACUGACACUGAGACGCGAAAGCAUGGGGAGCAAACAGG
rnacentral:rRNA from 1 species